GAAAUGCGAUAAGUAAUGUGAAUUGCAGAAUUCAGUGAAUCAUCGAAUCUUUGUACGCACAUUGCGCCCGCCAGUAUUCUGGCGGGCAUGCCUGUUCGAGCGUCAUUACAACCCUCAGGCCCCCGGGCCUGGCGUUGGGGAUCGGCGGAAGCCCCCUGCGGGCACAACGCCGUCCCCCAAAUACAGUGGCGGUCCCGCCGCAGCUUCCAUUGCGUAGUAGCUAACACCUCGCAACUGGAGAGCGGCGCGGCCACGCCGUAAAACACCCAACUUCUGAAUGUUGACCUCGAAUCAGGUAGGAAUACCCGCUGAACUUAAGC
rnacentral:misc_RNA from 1 species